rnacentral:rRNA from 1 species
GACAGAGGUCCCGAGCGUUAGGCGGAAUCACUGGGCUUGAAGCGUGUGUAGGCGGAUCGUUAAGUGCCUUGUGAAAUCCCAUGGCUUAACCAUGGAACUGCUUGGCAUACUGGCGGUCUUGAGCCACUUAGGGGCAACCGGAACAAAUGGUGGAGCGGUGAAAUGCGUAGAUAUCAUUUGGAACGCCAAUGGUGAAAACAGGUUGCUGGGAGUGUGCUGACGCUGAGACACGAAAGCCAGGGGAGCGAACGGG